rnacentral:piRNA from 1 species
UGAUUUUCAAGACACGUUUGUGGUCCUUUA